rnacentral:rRNA from 1 species
AGGGAAUCUUCCGCAAUGGACGAAAGUCUGACGGAGCAACGCCGCGUGAGUGAUGAAGGUUUUCGGAUCGUAAAGCUCUGUUAUUAGGGAAGAACAAGUGCGUAGGUAACUAUGCGCACCUUGACGGUACCUAAUCAGAAAGCCACGGCUAACUACGUGCCAGCAGCCGCGGUAAUACGUAGGUGGCAAGCGUUAUCCGGAAUUAUUGGGCGUAAAGCGCGCGUAGGCGGUUUCUUAAGUCUGAUGUGAAAGCCCACGGCUCAACCGUGGAUGGUCAUUGGAAACUGGGGAACUUGAGUGCAGAAGAGGAAAGUGGAAUUCCAUGUGUAGCGGUGAAAUGCGCAGAGAUAUGGAGGAACACCAGUGGCGAAGGCGGCUUUCUGGUCUGUAACUGACGCUGAUGUGCGAAAGCGUGGGGAUCAAACAGGAUUAGAUACCCUGGUAGUCCACGCCGUAAACGAUGAGUGCUAAGUGUUAGGGGGUUUCCGCCCCUUAGUGCUGCAGCUAACGCAUUAAGCACUCCGCCUGGGGAGUACGAUCGCAAGAUUG